UUCGACUGUUUACCAAAAACAUAGCCCUUAAAAUAAUUAAAGGUGUGACCUGCCCAAUGAUUGUAAAAUUAAAAAUUUUAAAAGAAUUUUACUACAAUUUAAAGGACGCGGUAUCUUGACCGUGGUAAUGUAGCAUAAUCACUCGCCACUUAAUUGGUGGAUAGUAUGAAUGGUUGAACGAAUAUAACACUGUCUCAGGUAGAGGUUUUAUAAAAUUGGAUUAAUAGUAAAGAUACUAUUUUAAAUUAUAAGACGAAAAGACCCUAUAGAGCUUAACUAUAAUCUUUUUCUAAUCAUAUAAAUUUAUUUAUAAAAAUAAAAAGAUUGGUAGUUUAGUUGGGGCGACUAUCUUCUAAAUACAACGAAGAUAAACAAUAUUAAUAAAAUAAUUUAUUGUAUAAUAAAUGAAUUUAACAAUUACUAAAGUAGGUAAUAAUGACCCGUUCCCGUUUCAGAAAAAAGGGAACGAUCAAUUGAUAAAAGCUACCUUAGGGAUAACAGGAUAAUUUUAUCUUAGAGAUCUUAUCGAAGAUAAAGUUUGUCACCUCUAUGUUGAAUUAAGAUAUCCUAGUAAUGCAGCAGUUACUAAAGGUAGGUCUGUUCGACCUUUAAAAUCUUACAUGAUUUGAGUUCAUUCCGUA
rnacentral:rRNA from 1 species